rnacentral:rRNA from 1 species
GACGAACGCUGGCGGCGUGCCUAAUACAUGCAAGUAGAACGCAGUUGCGAACGGGUGAGUAACGCGUAGGUAACUGCCUCAUAGCGGGGGAUAACUAUUGGAAACGAUAGCUAAUACCGCAUACUGUGAGAUGGACCUGCGUUGUAUUAGCUAGUUGGGGAGGUAAAGGCUCAACAAGGCGACGAUACAUAGCCGACUUGAGAGGGUGGUCCGGCAAACUGGGACUGAGACACGGGACAGACUCCGAAGGGAGGCAGCAGUAGGGAAUCUUUGGAAAUGGAGGGAAGGCUGAACGAGGAAAGCCGCGGGAGGGAAGAAGGGUUUCGGAGCGGAAAGCUCUGUUGUUAGAGAAGCGGUAACUAAACAGAAAGGGACGGCUAACUACGUGCCAGCAGCCGCGGUAAUUC